rnacentral:lncRNA from 1 species
CAAACUUAUAUACUUAUUUAUUAUCUUUAAUUUGGCUAAACUUAUCCAAUUUUCUAAUGUGACUAUUCAGGAACACUUGUUUUGCAAAUCAAACAUUUCUGUUGAAAGAAAGUUUGCUAGAAGAAAACAUUAAACAAAUGUUACAUUACAAUAUACCAAAUACAAAGUUUAAGAAACAGAACAGUGGCUCGUGUCUAAACAAGUGUAAGAACCACUUUCUAGGAAGCCAAUGCAAGAUCAAAGUAAAUAUUUUUUUAAAUAUUAAUAUAUUUUACAUACAUAGAAAACAAGGGUUUAUUAUCUGAAAUAAAUGCAUUCAAAUUAACAAGCUAAGUUAUUUACAGUAUUUUUAAAAGUGGUGUUUCAGAGAUAUUUUCUGACACAAAAAUUGAGCUGAUGAAACAAGCGCAAGGGGAAGGACAAGAUCUAAUGCUAAAAAUGUCUUAUAUUUACAGUGAAUAUGCACUGCUACCAGACAUAAAACUAAAAUGUUGUUUAUCUAUUCGACAAAAAAUGCCAUUCAUCAUUAAUAGUUAACCUCUAAAUUUACCACAGAUGCUGGAUCAGUUAAGGUGUUGUUGAACUUACUUAUACUUUAAAGGCCUUUAUGCUUAAGAUGAUUUAGGCUAAAAUGUGUUACUUUAGUUAUUACAAGGAAUAUAAUUUCAUUACAAUACAUAAAUAUACAAAGGGGAUUUUAUCAAUAGUCAUUAAUUUUGAACAGAAAGGUUCAAAGUAAUCAUUAAAAGAGUUAAAUUCAUUCAUAUUAGAUCUUUGAAAUCAUUAGUCAACUCAGUGAAUCAGGCCUAUGGUGCAUACACUUGUGCAUACGCAAGUAAAGCCAAGCAGUACACAACUGCUGUAAGAAAGCUGUAAAACCAGAUUUUAUUUUGCUUAGGUAAGGACUCUUUUGAUUAAAUCAGAAACUAAGUCUGUCCUAUAAGAAUCUGUAAGAAAUUAUAAGAAGUUGUAAUGUGGUGAUAAGUGACCAAGUUUAUAAAUAAACAUUUUUAUUUCUGCCAACCAACUAUUGUCUCUAAUAGCACAGAGAAGCUAUACAACUCUUAAAAGACAGGCACUAGUUUCCUAACUUGGAAGCUCUACACACACUUUAUGUCUUGACUUUAAAAUUCAUAGUGCUUAUUUUAAACAUCACCUGAAAAAACUUUCUUUGUUGCUAUCUUCACUGUGUAUGCAAACAGCAACAUAUUGUUUUCCAAUAUGAGAAACUAUUUAUUCAAAGUGGCAUCUGGAUUAUUACAUUUUUUCUGUAUUUAAAAUUGGAAAUAAAUUGCAUUAUCUCUGAAACUGCUG